rnacentral:rRNA from 1 species
GACGAACGCUGGCGGCGUGCCUAAUACAUGCAAGUUGAGCGAUGAAGAUUGGUGCUUGCCCCAAUUUGAAGAGCAGCGAACGGGUGAGUAACGCGUGGGGAAUCUGCCUUUGAGCGGGGGACAACAUUUGGAAACGAAUGCUAAUACCGCAUAACAACUUUAAACAUAAGUUUUAAGUUUGAAAGAUGCAAUUGCAUCACUCAAAGAUGAUCCCGCGUUGUAUUAGCUAGUUGGUGAGGUAAAGGCUCACCAGGGCGAUGAUACAUAGCUGACCUGAGAGGGUGAUCGGCCACAGUGGGACUGAGACACGGCCCAAACUCCUACGGGAGGCAGCAGUAGGGAAUCUUCGGCAAUGGACGAAAGUCUGACCGAGCAACGCCGCGUGAGUGAAGAAGGUUGUCGGAUCGUAAAACUCUGUUGGUAGAGAAGAACGUUGGUGAGAGUGGAAAGCUCAUCAAGUGACGGUAACUACCCAGAAAGGGACGGCUAACUACGUG